ACGAACGCUGGCGGCAUGCCUAACACAUGCAAGUCGAACGAGACCUUCGGGUCUAGUGGCGCACGGGUGCGUAACGCGUGGGAACCUGCCCUUAGGUUCGGAAUAACUCCCCGAAAGGGGUGCUAAUACCGGAUAAUGUCUUCGGACCAAAGAUUUAUCGCCCUUGGAUGGGCCCGCGUUGGAUUAGCUAGUUGGUAGGGUAAAAGCCUACCAAGGCGACGAUCCAUAGCUGGUCUGAGAGGAUGAUCAGCCACACUGGGACUGAGACACGGCCCAGACUCCUACGGGAGGCAGCAGUGGGGAAUAUUGGACAAUGGGCGAAAGCCUGAUCCAGCAAUGCCGCGUGAGUGAUGAAGGCCUUAGGGUUGUAAAGCUCUUUUACCCGGGAUGAUAAUGACAGUACCGGGAGAAUAAGCGCCGGCUAACUCCGUG
rnacentral:rRNA from 1 species